GACAGCAGCCACUAGUUUAAAGGGAAGGAAGCUCGGGAUCUGUCAGAGCAACAGCUGAAAAGCCACAGACCAGAAUGGCUCCGAAACCUAGCAAGACCACAGGUGAUACGAUCGAUCCCAGACCAAAAUCAGUGAGUGAAUUUGGAGAUGCUGGCCUCCUCUCUACAAGAAAGGGAAGAAUGAGCUAAAGACGACUGAAAGUGAUAAACAAAUGUGGAGAUCUACCUUAUUUCUCUGUCUUCUUCUCUCGGUUCCUGCCCAUGAAAAGACCCUUACUCGCAUGGACACAGUAAGACCGUGGCUUGAGGCAAAUACGUCCCUCCACCUCUUCAGCGAGGUUGAAGCGACAUGUGUUGCUAGCUCCCUCACAGAAAAAUAUCGCAGGAGAAAGAGGAGGCCUGGUUCCUGAGCUCCAGCAGUAAUUAUCCUGAAGCAACAAAACCAAACAUGAGCAACUUCAAGAAGGGAAGGGAGGUGGCCGAUUUUUUAGAAAACUGAAAUGAGGUGGGUGGUAGCUACGGUCUUGUUCCUACAUGGGGAUCAGAGGCACUCAGAGGUCAGCUUGGAAGAAUGUAAAUUUUAUUUUACAUUUCACCUGCAAAGUAUUUAGGCACUCACUGUAUACCCCAUCAUGACAGAAUCAUAUUAUAAUAGUUUGGCCAUAGAAUAUCGCAACAGUGCAAAACCUGGGCAGUGUGAGGAGCUUAUUGCCUUUGAGGGCAGGCAAGUAGUGGUGAUGGGGGGGGGGGAUAGGGAUGAAAAGGGAUUAAGAUAGAUAAGUCUUGUCCAGAUCAAAGCUGAUAGUUUGCUUCAGCCUCAGACGCAUGAUUAAUUUGGUCAAAUAAAAUAUUAAUGCAGAGAGAGUUUCCAAAUGCAAUGAAAUUAUUAAAGAAUAAGCAGAAGCAUUGUAAUGCAAGACAGUCAUGCCUUGCUGAACCCCUUCGAGGGAGGCUGAGGUGAUGCAGUCUUAAUGUAGUCAGGAGCUGUGACAGGGCUUGGACAUUGGUAGAAUCCUGUGUCAUUACCUGCUACUCAUUAAAACUUGAUUUGUUUUUCUUCUAAUACAGGGAGGAACUUAAAAACCAAUUUUGCUCUGAACCAUGGCUUUUCAAAUGGGCCUACAGAUGCCCAGCAUUGGUGACAAAAGGCAGAACAACACUUACCCUUCAUUUUGCAUCCUUUGUUUUGGUAAAUCUUGGGUCAGAUCUCUUCUCAGCUUCUUAUAAGGUUAUGGGGAUCAUUCAGGGAGUGUUUAUCUACAAACUGUCCAGACAGGGUUAAUUAACCUUGAAUUGGCAGGAGAUAAACCACAAUAAAGACCGAGGACAUCAACAUAAGAGAUUUAUGGAGGCAUUCAGCCAUACCUGGAAGGCGUUCAGCUAUAUCAGCCAUUUUCCUAAACCUGGGGUCAUCUGGACCCCAGGAAAGUGGAGACCACAUGACUGAAAUCACCACAGACAGCAAUAAUUCUUUUGUGGGAAUGAAAAUGUUCCUGAGCCAAAAGGAUUUCAGAGCUAUGACACCAGUGAUAAGAGUUUGGAUAUGAGUAGGCAGUUAGGAACAAUAACCCUGGGAAGAAAUUAUGCAAGUUGAAUGGAAUCUACCACAUUAAAAAAAAAAAAAAAAAGAAAGAAAAGAAAAAGAAAAACCUCUUCCUGCAUCUGGGCUUGUUUUUGAGGAAUUUAGAAACUCUGAGUAAAUGGAUUUUUGAACUCUGUAUAUAAGCCCUGCAUCCUAAUUUGUUAUUUUAACCCAAUGGGACCACCCGUGUUAGAUGCCCACCAGCCGUGAACUAAAUUCCGCAAUCUACAUAUUUAUAAGAAACCCUAGACAAAGAAUCCUCUUGUGACCUAUUUAGGGCUCCUGUU